rnacentral:lncRNA from 1 species
CAGGAAUGAGGGGCACAGAGUGCCCGGGUAACCGCUCCUGGGAGCAGUGGGGAACUGUCGGAUACUUGAACUCUCAAGAGCUGGGCUCUGAGCGUCCUCGUCCAGCUGCCAACUUGGCCAAAGGCUAAGCCAGCAGAUUGUUCUGUUGCCGGGCAACGCGACUUCUAAACCUGAGGGAGUGGGCAUGUGAGCACAUAAUGGCACCAGUGACAGAGCGACCAUAAUGGAUGAAUAAGCGCAGCCAGGUACCCGCGCAAGGCACCUGCUGGCAAUGGCAGGAGGCGGACGUGGGGGGUCGUGCAGUAGGUACUGGAGGGAGAGACGUGGGCACAAAGGUCGCGGGAGGAACAGGUGCCCACAAUGGCUGCAUAUUUGCCCGUGGAUCACUGAAGAUUCCUGCUCUCCUGCUGAGGUGGAGACUGCAGUGAGCUGAGAUCGCACCAUUGCACUCCAGCCUGGGCAACGAGUGCAAAACUCAGUCUCCAGAUAAAAAAAAGAAAAAGAAAAAAAAGAGGCCGGGUGUGGUGGCUUAUGCCUAUGAUCCUAGCACUUUGGGAGGUCGGGGUGGACGGAUCACGAGAUCAGGAGUUGGAGGCCAGCCUGGCCAACAUAGUGAAAGCCCGUCUCUAGUAAAAAUACAAAAUUUAGUCAGACAUGGUGGGCAGGAGAGAGCAUGUGCAGGGGAACAUCCAUU